rnacentral:rRNA from 1 species
UAGGGAACGUGAGCUGGGUUUAGACCGUCGUGAGACAGGUUAGUUUUACCCUACUGCUGCUCGUUUUUCAACGGUAAUUUGGUUCAGUACGAGAGGAACCACCAAUUCGCACCAUCGGUAAACCCGCCGCCCGAUAGGGCGAUGCGGGGACGCUGCCAUGCGCCGGAUUAUAACUGAACGCCUCUAAGUUAGAAUCCAUGCCGGAAGGAAAGCGGUCCACCGCGCGGGGGAAGCCACGCGCAACCGUAUCGCACGAGCCGUGAGCGACCACAAUUUCCUGACCCCGCGCGAUGAAUCCCUUGCAGACGACUUGAAUAUGGAACGGGGUAUUGUACGCG